AUGCUCAGUAUAUCGCAGAGCCCGAUAUAAUGAAGGUUGAACUCGCUGCCAGAGCGUUAAGGGCAGCAGACAGUGGGGAGUUUGCUCAAAUACUCGCUUCCCCUGCGCUUUCUUUUUGACACGUCUAAAGGGUCCUUUCUGUCCCGAUGCCACUCUUCCCUGUAGUUUCCAUGUGGGGGGAAAGAGCCCGUGACCUCGGCACCAAUGUCUUGGCAGAGGCGUUUUGCGAGAGCAGAAGGUCCGAGUGCUGCCAGAUACACAGCAAUAUGAUGCUUAAAAUGCAACUCAGUUUGUUUUUCAAGCCUCUACCUUCUCUUUAGCAGUUUGCUUGCAUCAUUUUCCCACCAACUAACAGCAACCGAAAACACGGCCGAUACAGGGAUGAACGCUUCCAGACUGCGAUGAGAAAUCGACAGACUGACGGAUAUAAAAUUGGAUGUGUGUAAGGUCAUGGUCGCCGUCCUCGAGGCAGAUUCGACCUUCCGCUUCUGUUUCUGUGUGUGUUCAGGAUCACGACGGCCUGCUGCUGCCGGGGAAUAUUGGAGCGGUGGGUCGCAUCCCGGCCUUGGCAAACCUCUGACGGGAUGAUAUUAAACUCUCCAUCGGUGUCAGAUGGAGUAAAUAAACACAAAGGUGCACAUCCUCUGGCAGGGGUCGCGGAUCCGUCCAAACGAGAGUCCAGGUGAGCCUGUGCUAAUUAGGCUUCACACACGGUCAAAAACACACACGGUGAAAACACACACGGUGAGGAUGUUCAAUCAGUCGUGUAACAUGUUAGAAGACAUGCUAUUCUACACUC